rnacentral:rRNA from 1 species
ACGAACGCUGGCGGCGUGCUUAACACAUGCAAGUCGAACGGAAAGGCCCUGCUUUUGUGGGGUGCUCGAGUGGCGAACGGGUGAGUAACACGUGAGUAACCUGCCCUUGACUUUGGGAUAACUUCAGGAAACUGGGGCUAAUACCGGAUAUGAGCUCCUGCUGCAUGGUGGGGGUUGGAAAGUUUCGGCGGUUGGGGAUGGACUCGCGGCUUAUCAGCUUGUUGGUGGGGUAGUGGCUUACCAAGGCUUUGACGGGUAGCCGGCCUGAGAGGGUGACCGGCCACAUUGGGACUGAGAUACGGCCCAGACUCCUACGGGAGGCAGCAGUGGGGAAUAUUGCACAAUGGGCGGAAGCCUGAUGCAGCAACGCCGCGUGCGGGAUGACGGCCUUCGGGUUGUAAACCGCUUUCGCCUGUGACGAAGCGUGAGUGACGGUAAUGGGUAAAGAAGCACCGGCUAACUACGUG